AUUGAACGCUGGCGGCAGGCCUAACACAUGCAAGUCGAGCGGUAGCACAGAGAGCUUGCUCUCGGGUGACGAGCGGCGGACGGGUGAGUAAUGUCUGGGAAACUGCCUGAUGGAGGGGGAUAACUACUGGAAACGGUAGCUAAUACCGCAUAACGUCGCAAGACCAAAGUGGGGGACCUUCGGGCCUCAUGCCAUCAGAUGUGCCCAGAUGGGAUUAGCUAGUAGGUGGGGUAACGGCUCACCUAGGCGACGAUCCCUAGCUGGUCUGAGAGGAUGACCAGCCACACUGGAACUGAGACACGGUCCAGACUCCUACGGGAGGCAGCAGUGGGGAAUAUUGCACAAUGGGCGCAAGCCUGAUGCAGCCAUGCCGCGUGUGUGAAGAAGGCCUUCGGGUUGUAAAGCACUUUCAGCGGGGAGGAAGGCGUUAAGGUUAAUAACCUUGGCGAUUGACGUUACCCGCAGAAGAAGCACCGGCUAACUCCGUGCCAGCAGCCGCGGUAAUACGGAGGGUGCAAGCGUUAAUCGGAAUUACUGGGCGUAAAGCGCACGCAGGCGGUCUGUCAGUCGGGAUGUGAAAUCCCCGGGCUCAACCUGGGAACUGCAUUCGAAACUGGCAGGCUAGAGUCUUGUAGAGGGGGGUAGAAUUCCAGGUGUAGCGGUGAAAUGCGUAGAGAUCUGGAGGAAUACCGGUGGCGAAGGCGGCCCCCUGGACAAAGACUGACGCUCAGGUGCGAAAGCGUGGGGAGCAAACAGGAUUAGAUACCCUGGUAGUCCACGCCGUAAACGAUGUCGAUUUGGAGGUUGUGCCCUUGAGGCGUGGCUUCCGGAGCUAACGCGUUAAAUCGACCGCCUGGGGAGUACGGCCGCAAGGUUAAAACUCAAAUGAAUUGACGGGGGCCCGCACAAGCGGUGGAGCAUGUGGUUUAAUUCGAUGCAACGCGAAGAACCUUACCUGGUCUUGACAUCCACAGAACUUUCCAGAGAUGGAUUGGUGCCUUCGGGAACUGUGAGACAGGUGCUGCAUGGCUGUCGUCAGCUCGUGUUGUGAAAUGUUGGGUUAAGUCCCGCAACGAGCGCAACCCUUAUCCUUUGUUGCCAGCGGUCCGGCCGGGAACUCAAAGGAGACUGCCAGUGAUAAACUGGAGGAAGGUGGGGAUGACGUCAAGUCAUCAUGGCCCUUACGACCAGGGCUACACACGUGCUACAAUGGCAUAUACAAAGAGAAGCGACCUCGCGAGAGCAAGCGGACCUCAUAAAGUAUGUCGUAGUCCGGAUUGGAGUCUGCAACUCGACUCCAUGAAGUCGGAAUCGCUAGUAAUCGUAGAUCAGAAUGCUACGGUGAAUACGUUCCCGGGCCU
rnacentral:rRNA from 1 species